GAGAAGACGGAUCCCUAUAUUUACAGCAGUGCUUUAGCAACAAUUCUUGAUUGGAGAUUAUCUGCAACAUGAGAUGAUUAAGCUUGUGCAAUUUUAGGUAAGAUUCAAUAACAUAUCACAAACGUUAGACCAAGAGAGAGAGAGAGAGAGAGAGAGAGAGAUUUAUCAUUAUUUCCACAUUACCAGAUGAAUAAGAACCAAUAAAGAGAGAUCAAACAGAACACUAAAAAAUAAUUGGAACAAAGAUGUCUAACUGCCGAGGUUUCUGAGGACCAAUAGAGAGAUCAAACAAAACACUAAAAAAAAAAUUGGAACAAAGAUGUCCAACAUUAGAUGAUUAGGCUUGUGCAAUUCUAGGUAAGAUUCAAUAACAUAUCACAAAACGUUGGACCUACAGACAGAGAGAGAGAGAGAGAGAGAGAGAUUUAUCAUUAUUCCACAUUACCAGAUGAAUAAGAACCAAUAAAGAGAGAUCAAACAAAACACUAAAAAAUAAUUGGAACAAAGAUGUCCAACUGUCGAGUUUUCUGAGGACCCAUAAAAAGGAAUGGCACUUUCGUAACACUAUCAAUUACUUCCAAAUUGGUUCAAAUAGACAGAGCAAAGACUUUGCCCAAGAAAUGGAUCAACAAAAUGUCGAACUGAACAGGAAAUAAAUCUAAUACCAACUAAAGACUACUUACUGUAAUUGUUUUGCUUUUUAGAAAUUGAAUACCUAUACAAAGGUUCAAGUUUCGAAAAUACAAGUUGCUAACAUUGGUUGGAGGAAUAAACCACAAGGCCUCCAACUUCUUUAUCGCAUUAGUUUCUUUAAAAGAUAAAACCACAUUCAACGAAUUGGGCUUGCAAAGGAUAUGUUCAUAUAACAGAAAAAAUUAAACUUAUAAAGAGC
rnacentral:lncRNA from 1 species